AAUUCGCCAGCGAAAUAGUUCAACAUUUCCAAAUUAGAAGGCGAUUCGCUAAAUAGAAACAUUCGCCGGAUACGACGUCAUCAAUGACACAUAUUUCGUUUCGCUUUUUGCCAGCGGUUCGCUCUCUGUGUGAACCAGCCUUAAGUGCAGAAUUGAUUUAAAAAAAAAUACUGUUAAUGAAAAGAAAAAAGAUUUUGUUCCAUGAAAAUAAUAUUAAUCUACACAGACAACACUACAGAAAACUAAAGACUUCAAUUGGAAUUUGUCUCAUUCACUUUAAUAUUGUUCUAAGUGAUUAUCAUCUGUUUCUUAGCUUCCAGAAUAUUCUAUUCGAAAAAUUCAAUACUAAAAGCAAAGUUGGAAGAGCAAUGUCUUACUAUUUUAUAUCAGAA
rnacentral:lncRNA from 1 species